UACGUAGGGAGCAAGCGUUGUCCGGAAUUACUGGGUGUAAAGGGAGCGUAGGCGGGGAUGCAAGUUGGGUGUCAAAACUACCGGCUCAACCGAUAGUCGCACUCAAAACUGCAGCUCUUGAGUGAAGUAGAGGCAGGCGGAAUUCCUAGUGUAGCGGUGAAAUGCGUAGAUAUUAGGAGGAACACCAGUGGCGAAGGCGGCCUGCUGGGCUUUUAUUGACGCUGAGGCUCGAAAGUGUGGGGAGCAAACAGG
rnacentral:rRNA from 1 species